rnacentral:snoRNA from 1 species
UGGACCAGCGAUGAAAAUGUGUUUUGAAACAAGGAUUAUGAUUAUUACAGUUCCGCACUCACUACUGACAUUUAUG